rnacentral:lncRNA from 1 species
CUGUUCUGAGAGCCUGGGAACCCCAUUCACUCCUUGUCCCUCCUGUUCUGUGGUAAGCGCCCCUGGCUUACUUCUUAAAAUGUGUCCAUUUUGACUUUGCCAGUUUCUUCAAUGGUAUUGUGCAACUAUUGGUAUAAAGACCAGAAAAGACUGCAAGUGUGUUCUGGCAUGGAACUUCAACUCAGAUGUCUCGCAGUAGGGAAGCAACUACCAGAUAGCAGUCUUGUCCAGCUCCUGGGUCCCACACAGGAUGUUGAAAAUCAAAGAAUAUAAGCCUUUAUACCAGCUUUGACCUUAACAGUGCGGGCACAGAGUUCCAGAACUUUCCUUCAGCAUUUAUUUAUGUUGAUAACUUCCUCGUGCCUCAGUUAAGACAAUUCCUUAGUUAAGACUCUGACUGAUUUUAUGCUUAAAUUAUCUUGGUUUACCUUUUAUUCUACUACCACUUACACAAUUUGCAAUUGUGACUUAAAUGAAGAAAUUUAUGGAGGUGUGUGCUAUUCAUACAUUCGUGAUAUUACAGUGUAUGAGAUAAACACAAACCAGAAAUAAAGAAAUAAAUAAAGCAUGUUGUAUGAAUUGA